rnacentral:lncRNA from 1 species
ACAAACUAUUAUAUGAUAUAUCUAAAACUUUAUUAAAAUUGAAUAAACAAUUAUUUCAUAAUAAAUAUUAUAUCUAAACUAAACACAUGGUUAAUAGUAUAUAUCCCAACAAUCUCCCACUUAGACUUUUAACCAUAAUAAUUAUUAGAAUAUACUAUAUCCAAAUACAUGAUUAAUAGUAUAUGACCCAACAAAAAGUCCCAAUGAUUGGUCUAUAGGACCACGACAGAGAUCCAAACAAAGAAGUUCGAUGCCGACCCCGAACUCAGCUUUUGGAGCUGCUACUUUUUUGCUUUUUUUAGCUAGAUUUCGGACUCAAAUGGUGAUGUUUUGGAGGUUAUUCGACUGAAUUCUUGGUGGUGAAGGAAGCUGGUAUACUAUUGGUUUUAAUGGAGUUGGGUAGUGGCGUCGCCGGUGUUAGCCCGCCAGCAAGAUCUGAAAGCUCCCAUCGUCAUCAAAAUCUCCGACGAAGUGACAUGACGGGCUUC